rnacentral:rRNA from 1 species
CCUACCCAUAGGUUGGGGACAACUCCGGGAAACCGGAGCUAAUACCGAAUAAUAUUUCAAGAACGCAUGUUUUUGAAAUCAAAGGAGGCCUCUCUAUAGAAGCUUCUGCCCAUGGAUGGAUCCGCGUCUGAUUAGCUAGUUGGUGGGGUAAUGGCCUACCAAGGCGACGAUCAGUAGCCGGCCUGAGAGGGUGAACGGCCACACUGGGACUGAGACACGGCCCAGACUCCUACGGGAGGCAGCAGUGGGGAAUCUUCCGCAAUGGGCGAAAGCCUGACGGAGCAAUGCCGCGUGAAUGAAGAAGGCCUUCGGGUUGUAAAGUUCUGUUGAGAAGGAAGAAAGAUCUAAGAGCUAAUACCUCUUAAGUUUGACGGUACUUUUCGAGGAAGCCCCGGCUAACUACGUGCCAGCAGCCGCGGUAAGACGUAGGGGGCGAGCGUUGUCCGGAAUUACUGGGCGUAAAGAGCACGUAGGCGGAGAUUUAAGUCAGGUGUGAAAGAUCGGGGCUCAACCCCGAAAUUGCAUUUGAAACUGGGUCCCUUGAGGGCAGGAGAGGAAAGCAGAAUUCCUGGUGUAGCGGUGAAAUGCGUAGAAAUCAGGAGGAAUACCAGUGGCGAAGGCGGCUUUCUG